AUUGAACGCUGGCGGCAGGCCUAACACAUGCAAGUCGAGCGGUAGAGAGAAGCUUGCUUCUCUUGAGAGCGGCGGACGGGUGAGUAAUGCCUAGGAAUCUGCCUGGUAGUGGGGGAUAACGUUCGGAAACGAACGCUAAUACCGCAUACGUCCUACGGGAGAAAGCAGGGGACCUUCGGGCCUUGCGCUAUCAGAUGAGCCUAGGUCGGAUUAGCUAGUUGGUGAGGUAAUGGCUCACCAAGGCGACGAUCCGUAACUGGUCUGAGAGGAUGAUCAGUCACACUGGAACUGAGACACGGUCCAGACUCCUACGGGAGGCAGCAGUGGGGAAUAUUGGACAAUGGGCGAAAGCCUGAUCCAGCCAUGCCGCGUGUGUGAAGAAGGUCUUCGGAUUGUAAAGCACUUUAAGUUGGGAGGAAGGGUAGGUAACCUAAUACGUUGCUACUUGACGUUACCGACAGAAUAAGCAACCGGCUAACCUUCGUGCCAGCA
rnacentral:rRNA from 1 species